AUUCAAAAAUAUUUCAAACGGUAUUAAGCAGGUCAGCCCUAAUAAUAGACCAAAAGAAUUUGAAGAACAUAGGAGAAAAUCCAUGUAGCCUAGGAGAUUUAUCAAAGUUCAAACUAAACACCACAUCAUAGAGCUCUUUCACUAAAACUAGUGAGAUCAUAUGCAUGUUAUCAACUUUCAAAAUCUAAGGAGUAUGAGGAAUGUGAGGAU
rnacentral:lncRNA from 1 species